ACAACUGGAUCACCUCCUUUCUAAGGAUGAUCAUGAAUGGGAUCGGUCCCUUUGUGAUCUGAUUAAACAUAAAGGUUGAACAGUUAUGAGUAUUCACAUUCAUUUUGUUUAACCGGCUUCUUUAAGUCUAAAGAAGUAUAGCAGGCAUGCCGCCUUCGUUUCUCUUUCUUCAAAUGAUGAUCCCAAGCCUUCUGGCAAUCUGCUCCUCAUAAAUAUUUGAAUAAAUAUUUUAAGAGAGGAACUCAUAAAUUUUGAGAUAGUUGAGAAGACCUUUUGUUUUUUGUGUCUGUUUUAUUGUGAUGUCAGAUUGUCCCGGAGAAGGUUUUUCCGGUUUAUCCCGGGAGGGCUUGUAGCUCAGUUGGUUAGAGCGCGCGCUUGAUAAGCGUGAGGUCGGAGGUUCAAGUCCUCCCAGGCCCACCAUUUAUUCCAGGCCUAUGAUUGAUUUCUAGGCAGACAUUAAUUUGAGGCUUAUCUUAUAGUUUUAGGCUUACUAUGUGUGGUGCGUUUUUAUCUUUUAACUGCCACUGUUGUUUGGUUGAAGAGGGGCCGUAGCUCAGCUGGGAGAGCACCUGCUUUGCAAGCAGGGGGUCGUCGGUUCGAUCCCGUCCGGCUCCACCAUCAUAGGCUAUUUAUGCGUUAUGGAUCAUCAUGUUAGAGAACAAGUUUGCAAAUAGAUUUUGAUUUAUUUGCUGGUUCUAUUGAAAUUGUGAAGAGAAGAUAUAUUCAGACAUUGCUGUUUGAAGGCUCCUUUUAGGGGUUUUUUAGAGAGUUCUUUUAGGAGUUCUUUCAGAGAGUUAAUGUGUCGCAAGGGAAUGCUCAAAACCCUUGCCUUAUGAUUGGCGUUUUAACCGACGUCAUUGAAUAUAUCAUCAGAGAAACUGGUCUUUCUGCUGAUAUUUUGAGUUGAGUGUGCACGCAUUCAACAGUGAAUGAAUAUUGGCAAUGAGAACUAUCAAUUGUCUUAAGGGCAU
rnacentral:tRNA from 1 species